rnacentral:lncRNA from 1 species
AUGUACAGGUCUGCUACCUCAAUCCCCCAGGCACCCCUACAGAUCCGCUACCUCAAUCCCCCAGGCACCCCUACAGAUCCGCUACCUCAAUCCCCCCAGGCACCCCUACAGAUCCGCUACCUCAAUCCCCCCAGGCACCCCUACAGAUCCGCUACCUCAAUCCCCCCAGGCACCCCUACAGAUCCGCUACCUCAAUCCCCCCAGACACCCCUACAGAUCUGCUACCUCAAUCCCCCAGGCACCCCUACAGAUCUGCUACCUCAAUCCCCCCAGGCACCCCUACAUAUCUGCUACCUCAAUCCCCCCAGGCACCCCUACAGAUCUGCUACCUCAAUCCCCCCAGGCACCCCUACAGAACUGCUACCUCAAUCCCCCAGGCACCCCUACCUCAAUCCCCCAGGCACCCCCUACAGAUCUGCUACCUCAAUCCCCCAGGCACCCCUACAGAUCUUCUACCUCAAUCCCCCCAGGCACCCCUACAGAUCUUCUACCUCAAUCCCCCCAGGCACCCCUACAGAUCUUCUACCUCAAUCCCCCAGGCACCCCUACAGAUCUUCUACCUCAAUCCCCCCAGGCACCCCUACAGAUCUGCUACCUCAAUCCCCCCAGGCACCACUACAUAUCUGCUACCUCAAUCCCCCCAGGCACCCCUACAGAUCUGCUACCUCAAUCCCCCCAGGCACCCCUACAGAUCUUCUACCUCAAUCCCCCCAGGCACCCCUACAGAACUGCUACCUCAAUCCCCCAGGCAACCCUACCUCAAUCCCCCAGGCACCCCUACAGAUAUGCUACCUCAAUCCCCCAGGCACCCCUACCUCAAUCCCCCAGGCACCCCUACAGAUCUGCUACCUCAAUCCCCCAGGCACCCCUACAGAUCUUCUACCUCAAUCCCCCCAGGCACCCCUACAGAUCUGCUACCUCAAUCCCCCCAGGCACCCCUACAGAUCUGCUACCUCAAUCCCCCCAGGCACCCCUACAGAUCUGCUACCUCAAUCCCCCCAGGCACCCCUACAGAUCUUCUACCUCAAUCCCCCCAGGCACCCCUACAGAUCUUCUACCUCAAUCCCCCAGACACCCCUACAGAUCCGCCAUCUUUAA